rnacentral:rRNA from 1 species
GGCCUACGGGGGGCAGCAGUGAGGAAUAUUGGUCAAUGGGCGAGAGCCUGAACCAGCCAAGUCGCGUGAGGGAAGACGGUCCUAUGGAUUGUAAACCUCUUUUGCCGGGGAGCAAAAAGCGGUACGUGUACCGCAUCGAGAGUACCCGGAGAAAAAGCAUCGGCUAACUCCGUGCCAGCAGCCGCGGUAAUACGGAGGAUGCGAGCGUUAUCCGGAUUUAUUGGGUUUAAAGGGUGCGUAGGCGGUUUUUUAAGUUAGUGGUUAAACGUCGGGGCUUCACCUUGAUUUGCCAUUAAUACUGUAAG